UACGAAUGGGGCUAGCGUUGUUCGGAAUUACUGGGCGUAAAGGGCGCGUAGGCGUCGUGUCAAGUCAGGCGUGAAAGCCCCGGGCUCAACCUGGGAACCGCGCUUGAGACUGGCAUGCUCGAGUUCGGGAGAGGAUGGUGGAAUUCCCAGUGUAGAGGUGAAAUUCGUAGAUAUUGGGAAGAACACCGAUGGCGAAGGCAGCCAUCUGGACCGACACUGACGCUGAGGCGCGAAAGCGUGGGGAGCAAACAGG
rnacentral:rRNA from 1 species